UGUUCUGUAGCUUAGUUGGUUAAAGCGCCGGACUUGCGAUAACGGAGUCGUGGGUUCGAAUCCCAACAAAACAA
rfam:Aedes albopictus isolate Foshan contig107562, whole genome shotgun sequence.